rnacentral:rRNA from 1 species
GUGAAAAAGAACCUGAAACCGUGUACGUACAAGCAGUGGGAGCACGCUUAGGCGUGUGACUGCGUACCUUUUGUAUAAUGGGUCAGCGACUUAUAUUCUGUAGCAAGGUUAACCGAAUAGGGGAGCCGAAGGGAAACCGAGUCUUAACUGGGCGUUAAGUUGCAGGGUAUAGACCCGAAACCCGGUGAUCUAGCCAUGGGCAGGUUGAAGGUUGGGUAACACUAACUGGAGGACCGAACCGACUAAUGUUGAAAAAUUAGCGGAUGACUUGUGGCUGGGGGUGAAAGGCCAAUCAAACCGGGAGAUAGCUGGUUCUCCCCGAAAGCUAUUUAGGUAGCGCCUCGUGAAUUCAUCUCCGGGGGUAGAGCACUGUUUCGGCAAGGGGGUCAUCCCGACUUACCAACCCGAUGCAAACUGCGAAUACCGGAGAAUGUUAUCACGGGAGACACACGGCGGGUGCUAACGUCCGUCGUGAAGAGGGAAACAACCCAGACCGCCAGCUAAGGUCCCAAAGUCAUGGUUAAGUGGGAAACGAUGUGGGAAGGCCCAGACAGCCAGGAUGUUGGCUUAGAAGCAGCCAUCAUUUAAAGAAAGCGUAAUAGCUCACUGGUCGAGUCGGCCUGCGCGGAAGAUGUAACGGGGCUAAACCAUGCACCGAAGCUGCGGCAGCGACGCUUAUGCGUUGUUGGGUAGGGGAGCGUUCUGUAAGCCUGCGAAGGUGUGCUGUGAGGCAUGCUGGAGGUAUCAGAAGUGCGAAUGCUGACAUAAGUAACGAUAAAGCGGGUGAAAAGCCCGCUCGCCGGAAGACCAAGGGUUCCUGUCCAACGUUAAUCGGGGCAGGGUGAGUCGACCCCUAAGGCGAGGCCGAAAGGCGUAGUCGAUGGGAAACAGGUUAAUAUUCCUGUACUUGGUGUUACUGCGAAGGGGGGACGGAGAAGGCUAUGUUGGCCGGGCGACGGUUGUCCCGGUUUAAGCGUGUAGGCUGGUUUUCCAGGCAAAUCCGGAAAAUCAAGGCUGAGGCGUGAUGACGAGGCACUACGGUGCUGAAGCAACAAAUGCCCUGCUUCCAGGAAAAGCCUCUAAGCAUCAGGUAACAUCAAAUCGUACCCCAAACCGACACAGGUGGUCAGGUAGAGAAUACCAAGGCGCUUGAGAGAACUCGGGUGAAGGAACUAGGCAAAAUGGUGCCGUAACUUCGGGAGAAGGCACGCUGAUAUGUAGGUGAAGUCCCUUGCGGAUGGAGCUGAAAUCAGUCGAAGAUACCAGCUGGCUGCAACUGUUUAUUAAAAACACAGCACUGUGCAAACACGAAAGUGGACGUAUACGGUGUGACGCCUGCCCGGUGCCGGAAGGUUAAUUGAUGGGGUCAGCGCAAGCGAAGCUCUUGAUCGAAGCCCCGGUAAACGGCGGCCGUAACUAUAACGGUCCUAAGGUAGCGAAAUUCCUUGUCGGGUAAGUUCCGACCUGCACGAAUGGCGUAAUGAUGGCCAGGCUGUCUCCACCCGAGACUCAGUGAAAUUGAACUCGCUGUGAAGAUGCAGUGUACCCGCGGCAAGACGGAAAGACCCCGUGAACCUUUACUAUAGCUUGACACUGAACAUUGAGCCUUGAUGUGUAGGAUAGGUGGGAGGCUUUGAAGUG